CACUCUGGGACAAGCCCUGGAAACGGGGUCUAAUACCGGAUAACACUCUGUCCCGCAUGGGACGGGGUUGAAAGCUCCGGCGGUGAAGGAUGAGCCCGCGGCCUAUCAGCUUGUUGGUGGGGUAAUGGCCUACCAAGGCGACGACGGGUAGCCGGCCUGAGAGGGCGACCGGCCACACUGGGACUGAGACACGGCCCAGACUCCUACGGGAGGCAGCAGUGGGGAAUAUUGCACAAUGGGCGAAAGCCUGAUGCAGCGACGCCGCGUGAGGGAUGACGGCCUUCGGGUUGUAAACCUCUUUCAGCAGGGAAGAAGCGCAAGUGACGGUACCUGCAGAAGAAGCGCCGGCUAACUACGUGCCAGCAGCCGCGGUAAUACGUAGGGCGCAAGCGUUGUCCGGAAUUAUUGGGCGUAAAGAGCUCGUAGGCGGCUUGUCACGUCGGAUGUGAAAGCCCGGGGCUUAACCCCGGGUCUGCAUUCGAUACGGGCUAGCUAGAGUGUGGUAGGGGAGAUCGGAAUUCCU
rnacentral:rRNA from 1 species